GUGAGCUGUCCUGGGAAAGACAUGACCCAGAAAGAAGUUGCUCUCUUCAGAUGUGGAAGCUGAGGUCUGAACAAUGACAUAACUUGAAUAAGUUCUCAUUGCUAAUAAGAAGUGGAAGAAGUGAGAUUCAAGUACAGACAGAAGACUCUGCAAUUGCCUGUUGGCAUUUGUCUUGUUCACUGCUUAUAUC